CGGUUAUGUUUGGUGUCUUGUGUCUUUAUGCAUUUAGUUAAUUCAUGAUCGGUGUCUUUUUGCAUGCAUUUGUAUUUUGGAUUAUAUUUUGUCUGUCUUUUGGUUUAUGUAAUAACAAUGGAUCUUUAAAUGUUGGAAUUUAGACAAUGGUUGUCCUAUUAAGUACUUAUGGUUAUUUUUAUUGUAGUGUUGUAUUAUUUAGUUUGUGUGUUAUCACAUAUGUUGUAUGUAUGUGAGCAUAUUUCUUCUCUUUUCA
rnacentral:lncRNA from 1 species